rnacentral:rRNA from 1 species
CUGAUGCAGCGACGCCGCGUGAGGGAUGACGGCCUUCGGGUUGUAAACCUCUGUUAGCAUCGAAGAAGCGAAAGUGACGGUAGGUGCAGAGAAAGCGCCGGCUAACUACGUGCCAGCAGCCGCGGUAAUACGUAGGGCGCGAGCGUUGUCCGGAAUUAUUGGGCGUAAAGAGCUUGUAGGCGGUUGGUCGCGUCUGCUGUGAAAGGCUGGGGCUUAACCCUGGUUUUGCAGUGGGUACGGGCUAACUAGAGUGCAGUAGGGGAGACUGGAAUUCCUGGUGUAGCGGUGGAAUGCGCAGAUAUCAGGAGGAACACCGAUGGCGAAGGCAGGUCUCUGGGCUGUAACUGACGCUGAGAAGCGAAAGCAUGGGGAGCGAACA